AUUUUCUUUGGCUCUCCCCCCAGUUUCAACCAAGGCCAAGCCCUGAUUCUCACUUACCAUCCAUGGGAGUUUGCACUAACCCUCACAUCUGAAAUGGGAGCCCAUGGAGAAAGCUCAAGAACUCUGAAAAGAAAUGGUAAUGUAAAAAAUACAGUGAAUAUAUCUUCGCUUCUGUCAUGCAUUUUCUUUUAACACAGCAGAUAUAAUCACCGAGGGGAGAACUAACAUUUGUUGAGAAGAUGAAAGGCCUUAAGCGCAUUGCAUGCCGUAUCAAUCAAAAUGCCAUCAGGAAAACAGAAAUUAUAACAGGGUUCCUCUCCCUCGAUUGCCCAACAGCCCAGGACAGACUCCCAACUACCAGCCGCGCCCGCAGAUUCCCAGCCUGAGAGAAACGUGUUGCUGAUACCUUCCGGGCAAUUUGUUUAAUUAAAGCUCAAAACAUGUGUUGGUUCCUGGUAUAAGUGGAGAAAUGGAAAGAAAAUGAAUUAACCAUGGCCAGGUCUGCAAGUUCUCCCGAUUUCUCGUAUCCUUUGUUAGCCAGAGGAAGGAGUGACGAGGAAGGACCGUGGCUAGAUGUUUAAUUGGGCUCAGUAGCACACAUGCAAACCAAAAGUUGUGGAUGAAUCACGGUACACGAUGUGAAGCAAAAUGUAUUACAUAUCUUAUCGUAUGUUCGAUCCCUACUUGAUUAAAAUAGCAAUUUAACUUAUAUCGCCUUUGUUUUUUUUGUAACUCAAUAAGACCCGCUGUCUGGGUGCACCAGCCCCUAGAAAACAGGUUUCCAAGACUUUGAAAGUGAGUCCUGAUGUUACACGGAUUAUUUUUUACGGCAUCAACCAUUUAAAGGAAAAGAAUUGGGGAUCUAGUUGAAUACAGUAUUUAGUAAUGCGAUAUGUUUAAUAUUAUUCAUCUAUAUCUUCAACCAUUCGAGGGAAAUCACGUGCAAUACAAAACAAUAUGCCCAGUGUAAUCCUCGCCUCCUGCCCCCAAGAAAACAAGGAAUCUACCUGUUUUUAAAUUUCUGCAUGUCCAAUAAAUCCAUUUGAUAGAUUUUUUUUAAUCUCA
rnacentral:lncRNA from 1 species